rnacentral:lncRNA from 1 species
AGAGCAUGUGGGAAGUGUAGUUUCGACAUCUCCGGCCAGGAGGAGAAUGGAGUGGAAAUGGGGAAUGCUAAUUCACAUCAUCCAUCACACAGAGAUGCCAUUAAAUGGCCUGAUGAAGGAAGGCUGGUCAGACUCGUUUUCAUCCUCCAUGCUCCCCAGUGAUAAUCUGAUUUGCGUGCAGAAGGAACUGAUUGCUGCGCUCACCUGUGACCACCCAGCUCAAGACAAUAGACUUGCCUCCUGCUACGCCCGCCAAGAUAGCAGACCCACAACCUGCUGUGUCCAUCAAGCGCUGUGCUGACAGGGCAAUCUUGAAAAAAGUAGGAGAAAGAAGAUGCAGAGACAAAGAGAGGAGCUCACAGUGAGUAGAAAUCAGUAUUUUCUCUCUUUGUCAUCUGUAAGUGGCAAUAUUGCUUUCAUGGGAAGGCAGACUUUUUAUUUUGCUUCUGGAUUUUUCUGGCAAUGAUACAGCUUUAG